GCCCACUUCUGAGAAGCAUCAGGCUGGGAGAUGUGUCAUCUGCCCAGGGCAGGGACAUCUCUGGAAAGGACUCCAAAAGCCACUUUGCCACCUUGAGAGCUCUAAGUGUCCACAGUCUGGAUUGGCCAGGCCACGCUCUAUGCCAUUUAUUGCAUCAAUACAGAAGAGGAACAUACAGACGUCAGCUGACAUCUGCCACAACCUUAUUAUAUGACAUGCUAUUGAACAGCGUGAGCUAAAGAUGGUGGUGGACUUUUACAAGUAUGAACAAGUAUGAGAGAAGGAUGCUUUCCUUGAAGUGGUUUGAAGACUGAGUAAGCUGAAAGGAGAUGGCAGGUCUUAAAGGCAACAUUAUAUAAUCAUAAUUUACCUCAGCCAUAAUAGGGCCGGCUGUCUGGCUGCAAGUCAUUAAAUUGUCUGUCUAUUGGCGAAUGUCUCUG